rnacentral:rRNA from 1 species
UACGAAGGGGGCUAGCGUUGCUCGGAAUUACUGGGCGUAAAGGGCGCGUAGGCGGCCGCUCAAGUCAGGCGUGAAAUUCCCGGGCUCAACCUGGGGACUGCGCUUGAGACUGGGGGGCUAGAGGCCGAGAGAGGGUGGUGGAAUUCCCAGUGUAGAGGUGAAAUUCGUAGAUAUUGGGAAGAACACCGGUGGCGAAGGCGGCCACCUGGCUCGGUACUGACGCUGAGGCGCGACAGCGUGGGGAGCAAACAGG